GAUGAACGCUAGCGAUAGGCUUAACACAUGCAAGUCGAGGGGCAGCAUGGUCUUAGCUUGCUAAGGCUGAUGGCGACCGGCGCACGGGUGCGUAACGCGUAUGCAACUUGCCUCACAGAGGGGGAUAACCCGUCGAAAGACGGACUAAUACCGCGUACACUCUAUGUUGGGCAUCCAAUGUAGAGGAAAUGAAAUUCGCUGUGAGAUAGGCAUGCGUCCCAUUAGCUAGUUGGUGAGGUAACGGCUCACCAAGGCGACGAUGGGUAGGGGAACUGAGAGGUUGAACCCCCACACUGGUACUGAGACACGGACCAGACUCCUACGGGAGGCAGCAGUGAGGAAUAUUGGUCAAUGGGCGAGAGCCUGAACCAGCCAAGUCGCGUGAAGGAUGACUGCCUUAUGGAUUGUAAACUUCUUUUAUACGGGAAUAACAAGAGUCACGUGUGGCUCCCUGCAUGUACCGUAUGAAUAAGCAUCGGCUAACUCCGUG
rnacentral:rRNA from 1 species